UACGAGUUUCGUAUCCUGGACUCAGGAUGAACGCUGGCGGCUGCUUAACACAUGCAAGUCGAACGGACCCAUAUUGAACCUGGUGAUAUAUGGGUUAGUGGCGGACGGUGAGUAACGCGUGGGUAACCUGCCUUACACAGGGGGAUAACACUUAGAAUAGGUGCUAAAACCGCAUAGCGCACAGCUUCGCAUGAAGCGGUGUGAAAAACCUCCGGUGGUGUAAGAUGGACCCGCGUCUGAUUAGCUUGUUGCGGGGUAACGGCCCACCAAGGCGACGAUCAGUAGCCGGCCUGAGAGGGCGGACGGCCACAUUGGGACUGAGGCACGGCCCAGACUCCUACGGGAGGCAGCAGUGGGGAAUAUUGCACAAUGGGGGAAACCCUGAUGCAGCGACGCCGCGUGAGUGAAGAAGUAAUUCGUUACGUAAAGCUCUAUCAGCAGGGAAGAAAAUGACGGUACCUGAGUAAGAAGCCCCGGCUAACUACGUG
rnacentral:rRNA from 1 species